rnacentral:rRNA from 1 species
CGGCGGCCGUAACUAUAACGGUCCUAAGGUAGCGAAAUUCCUUGUCGGGUAAGUUCCGACCCGCACGAAAGGCGUAACGAUUUGGGCACUGUCUCAACGAGAGACUCGGUGAAAUCAUAGUACCUGUGAAGAUGCAGGUUACCCGCGACAGGACGGAAAGACCCCGUGGAGCUUUACUGUAGCCUGAUAUUGAAAUUCGGCACAGCUUGUACAGGAUAGGUAGGAGCCUUUGAAACGUGAGCGCUAGCUUACGUGGAGGCGCUGGUGGGAUACUACCCUAGCUGUGUUGGCUUUCUAACCCGCACCACUUAUCGUGGUGGGAGACAGUGUCAGGCGGGCAGUUUGACUGGGGCGGUCGCCUCCUAAAAGGUAACGGAGGCGCUCAAAGGUUCCCUCAGAAUGGUUGGAAAUCAUUCAUAGAGUGUAAAGGCAUAAGGGAGCUUGACUGCGAGACCUACAAGUCGAGCAGGGUCGAAAGACGGACUUAGUGAUCCGGUGGUUCCGCAUGGAAGGGCCAUCGCUCAACGGAUAAAAGCUACCCCGGGGAUAACAGGCUUAUCUCCCCCAAGAGUUCACAUCGACGGGGAGGUUUGGCACCUCGAUGUCGGCUCAUCGCAUCCUGGGGCUGUAGUCGGUCCCAAGGGUUGGGCUGUUCGCCCAUUAAAGCGGUACGCGAGCUGGGUUCAGAACGUCGUGAGACAGUUCGGUCCCUAUCCGUCGUGGGCGUAGGAAAUUUGAGAGGAGCUGUCCUUAGUACGAGAGGACCGGGAUGGACAUACCUCUGGUGUACCAGUUGUCGUGCCAACGGCAUAGCUGGGUAGCUAUGUGUGGACGGGAUAAGUGCUGAAAGCAUCUAAGCAUGAAGCCCCCCUCAAGAUGAGAUUUCCCAACUUCGGUUAUAAGAUCCCUC